GCUUACGGCCAGACCACCCUGAACACGCCCGAUCUCGGAAGCUAAGCGGGGUGGGCCUGUUUAGUACUUGGAUAGGAGACUGCCUAGGAAUACCAGGUGCUGCAAGCU
ensembl:rRNA 5S_rRNA 5S ribosomal RNA